rnacentral:lncRNA from 1 species
CCGCUAUUUAUCUUGUUCUUGCUUGUUCUUCGAUUGCUUGCAGGAACAAAGACCUUCGUGGUCAGGUUGAUCGUGCCCCCGCGUGAUCAAUAACCCUCUGGAGUUGGUGUAUCGAUUGCUAAGGCGCUGCCUGCUAGGCCGUAGUCGGAUCGUGAUAUGGACAUGCUAACCAUGGAUACAACCAUUAGAACCCUAAUUGUUGGUGUAUCUAAUAACAGUUAUAAUCAGGUGAAUUCGAUUACAAAAUGUUUUCAAUAUGUUACUUGCAAAGAGGCGGAGCUACUAUCUUGUGUAAUCUUAUUAUGUAGGCAUCUUAUUGAACUUUACAAGUCCAAAGUGAAGAUGAAGUGUGAUUGAUAGCCUCGAGGGUGUCCCGAUCUUUCGAUGAGAUACCUAAUUAUCGAUUUGGUAGGAGGUGACGUUGACGAUCCGACUACAACCUAGGAGGCAGCGCCUUAGCGAUCGAUACACCAACUCCAGAAGGUUAUUGAUCCCGCGGGGGCACGAUCAACCUGACCACGAAGGUCUUUGUUCCUGCAAGCAAUCGAAGAACAAGCAAGAACAAGAUGAAAAGCAAUCUGAAAUUGCGAAUAGGAGAUAUGAAGGUUCACGAAUCUGAAUACUCAAUAUAGUUGGAGUCUUGAUGACGGUAAAACAGGUGGUCUAACCGACACACGCGAUUACACGAAAGUAGCAAAGGCUAAACUUUAUCUAAUCAAAACCCAAGGCUCCAUGAGGGGGCUCAUGGGGUAUAAAUAGGAGGGGAACUAGGUGGUUUUCGGACAGGUCCUUGAGGGACUCCGAAACGGCCUAGGAAUCCUCCUAAAACACAACGAAAACAUCUAAAAAUUGGCUGGACCCUAUUACAUGGCCUUAGGCCCAAUAAAGCAAGGUUAUAACCCUCAUCUUUGGCCCAUAGAUACCCAUUGGAGGGAGAAUCCUCCACUUGGCCGAAAUCCCAUUGAUGAAGAGGAUGCGGCCUUCUUCUCAUCUCUCGUUAUGGCGGUUUCAAUGUUCUGAAAUCAUCACUUGAGCUAGCUCCCGCCACCUUGCUGCCACCUCCAUGGUUUGCUGUCCAACGCUGAUCCUUGAGGUGCAAGCUAGGUCCUUCAUUCCUAAAACACAUAAAAGAACCCAUCUUAGGCAGCAGCAUGUUCUCAUUAAUAUUAAAUGAAGUACCGAGGAACGAAAGUACCUGAUAAUUUAGUUGUCGUGCACGAGCUCUAGUAAUUGGUCCAUGUAUCUCCGGUACUUGAGGUGUAUGUGCUGUAGGGGCUGUGGUUGUAUCAUUAGUUGGGAUGUCCUCAUCAGUGAUAGCCUGCAAAGGGAGAUUCAAAGUGAAGCCUAUCAAGUCUGCUUUCGAACAAAUCAAACGGCACAUGAUUCGGAGCUUGCUAGAGAAAGAUAUCACGAAUUAAAGUUGAAUCCGAUUCGGGUCCGAGCUGUCAGGAGACCCAAAUUUGUUUUAAUCACCCAGGCCGCAUCCGGAGUCCAAAUCAAGCAAACAAGUACUUGUUGGAAAGGUAAUUACAAGACCUUUCCAACGGAUCUGGCCCCAUCAAGAGAUUGGACUCGUGCUGACCGUGACGGACGAAACAAGCUGACGGAUCUGUUUUUCUGUUUCCUAAAGAGUUGUAGUUUGUUAGGAAAGUUAGAGAUAGAGUUGGAUUUCGGCCUCCUUACUCAAGGUGGACGAAAAUAUCUCUCCCUCCUCCUAUUUAUACCCCAUGAGCCCCCCUAUGGAGCCUUGGGUUUUGUUUAGUUAAAAGUUAGCCAUUGCUACUACUUCGUGUAAUCGCGUGUGUCGGUUAGACCACAUGUUUUACCGCUUUCGGAACCCCAACUUAUCGUCUCGUUGAGACAUUGGUUUGAUAUAGUAUCUUCGCAAUUUUAGAUUGCAUCCGCUAUUUAUCUUGUUCUUGCUUGUUCUUCGAUUGCUUGCAGGAACAAAGACCUUCGUGGUCAGGUUGAUCGUGCCCCCGCGUGAUCAAUAACCCUCUGGAGUUGGUGUAUCGAUUGCUAAGGCGCUGCCUCCUAGGCUGUAGUCGGAUCGUCAACGUCACCUCCUACCCAAAUCGAGAGUUACCAAUCUCAUCGAAAGAUCGGGCCACCCGCACCCGUAUCACGUGGUAUCAGAGCUUAAGGUUGCUCGGUGAGAUUUUUCCAGUUUAUCUGUAGUUUAGAUCAGUUUUUACCUAUCGUCCAGAAAAAGCCAAAUAAAAAUUAGAAUUAGUUACCUUGUCCUAGAACCAAUCUGAGCCUUGCAAUUUUCACUUUAGUAUUUGCAUUGUUGAAUCUUUGCUGCAUUAAUCGUGUCGAGUUGCUGGAUUAGAUUGGAUCGUUUUUCAGAUUUUUUUCUACUAGAUCGAACUUGCUUUUGGUUUUCUUGUUCUUCGUGUGACGCAGGUUUCCUUCAUCAAUCUUCCGCCGCCAAACUUCCUGCCACACCACCGCCAUAAUCUUCCACCGCCACCAUAUCUUCCACCGAGUCCUUCUUGGAGUCCUACACCGAGUCCCUCUUGGAGUCCUACACCGAGUCCCUCAUCGAGUCCCUCAUCGAGUCCUACACCGAGUCCCUCUUCGAGUCUUACACCGAGUCCCUCUUCCAGUCCUACAUCGAGUCGGCAAAUUAUAGUUUUCAGCUGCGAGUUCGAGUCCGAGUCCAAUAAGGAGUGCUUUUGGAAAGUGUUUGAUCAUAGAUCGAAUUUUGUUUAGAGAUCAAGUUGUUCGGAAAGUUAAAAAAAAAGAAAGGAAAGAAAAAAAAAGAAAGAAAGAAAGAAAAAAAAAACAAAAAAACAGAGAAAGAGUUCGAGUCAGUUUCGGACCCGAGUCCGAGUAGAAUUUUAGUUUCGGGUGGGUUUGACCCGUGUUCAGUAAAACGGGCGUAUCUUUUGCGUACCAACUCGGAUUUGGACGUUCUUGGACUUUUUGGAAAGCUCACGACGAGGCGCAUCUGGAAAUAUCCAGGGCGAUGCCCUGCACUUUGACCCCCAAAUUCAGUUUGUAAGGUGGACUUUCUGAGCUUCCAAGUUUCUGCAUCCGUUUUCCGGCGUCGCUGCAGCCCGGUGUUUCUCAGUUUCCUCCACUGUCCGACAUCCGUUUUCAGUGAUCUUGCCCUUGCUAGAAAGCUUGUGUCGAUACGCUUCUAACCCAUAUUUUUCCAUAUUUUUCUGAAAUUUUCUUACUACAGCCUUUGCUGUUCUUCGACAGACCGACGUACAUUUCUCCGGUCCUUCUUUUGCGUGAGUUUCUGGGGUUAAAAAAAAAGAAAAAAAGAAGAAGAAGAAAAGAAUAAGAAGCCAAACAGAAGGCCACAAAAAGAAAAAAAAAAGAAAAAAAAUCCCAGGGAUUUACUUGUUGUGCCAUCUUUUGAUCUUUCUAUCCUAUCUUCUUCAGUAUCUAGGCUUAGAUUAUUUCUGUAAUUCGUUCUUAUCGACUCCAGCAGCUAGGACUAGCAUUAUUGAGCAUAUUUUCAACUUUGCAUUGAUGAUUUGAUUAUUUGCUAUUUCUUGCUACUCACAAAAGCCUCCAAGCUCCACAGAUUCUACACCUAGGUUGGUUUGUUACCGAGGCAUCGAUACAUUUAAUAUUCGGAGGGCUUGGUCACGCCGUUGGCCAUCACCUUUCUGUUUUGCAUGGUAAGAACACUUAAGAACUUGAUUUUUAGCUUGAGAGUUGAGCGACUUGUAGCCACAUCCUAGUAAUUGAUAGGAACAUAUUACUGUGAUUUGUUUCUUGUUUUCUACUAACCAUGACAGGACUUACACGAAGCAUGGCAACUAGACCGAUGCUAUCCCGCGACCGCGAUGAGUGCUUUUCACCACGGCCAUCCUCCACGUCUCUUGUUGAUAAUGCCAUGGCAACGGUACAAAACAAUCCUUCUAAUACAAUUAAAUUGUGUGUACCUUUCUUUGAGGGGGAAAAUGAUGCCGAGACGUAUAUAGAUUGGGAGCUAGAUUUAACUGCACAAUUCACAUGCUUCCAUGUACUUGAUAGUCGCAAGGUUCAAAUUGCUAGUAGUAAAUUUACUUUUGCUGCUUUAUCUUGGUGGAAUGAGAUAGUUAGUGAUACGGGUGCGGGUGGCCCGAUCUUUCGAUGAGAUUGGUAACUCUCGAUUUGGGUAGGAGGUGACGUUGACGAUCCGACUACGGCCUAGGAGGCAGCGCCUUAGCAAUCGAUACACCAACUCCAAAGGGUUAUUGAUCACGCGGGGGCACGAUCAACCUGACCACGAAGGUCUUUGUUCCUGCAAGCAAUCGAAGAACAAGCAAGAACAAGAUAAAUAGCGGAUGCAAUCUAAAAUUGCGAAUAUACUAUAUCAAACCAAAG